CCUGCGGGUGGCAGCAGUGGGGAAUAUUGGACAAUGGGCGAAAGCCUGAUCCAGCCAUGCCGCGUGUGUGAAGAAGGCCUUCGGGUUGUAAAGCACUUUCAGUGGGGAAGAAAGCCUUGGGGCUAAUACCCUCGAGGAAGGACAUCACCCACAGAAGAAGCACCGGCUAACUCCGUGCCAGCAGCCGCGGUAAUACGGAGGGUGCGAGCGUUAAUCGGAAUUACUGGGCGUAAAGCGCGCGUAGGCGGUCUGAUAAGCCGGUUGUGAAAGCCCCGGGCUCAACCUGGGAACGGCAUCCGGAACUGUCAGGCUAGAGUGCAGGAGAGGAAGGUAGAAUUCCCGGUGUAGCGGUGAAAUGUGUAGAGAUCGGGAGGAAUACCAGUGGCGAAGGCGGCCUUCUGGACUGACACUGACGCUGAGGUGCGAAAGCGUGGGUAGCAAACAGGAUUAGAUACCCUAGUAGUC
rnacentral:rRNA from 1 species